AGUGAACGCUGGCGGUAGGCCUAACACAUGCAAGUCGAACGGCAGCACAGUAAGAGCUUGCUCUUACGGGUGGCGAGUGGCGGACGGGUGAGGAAUACAUCGGAAUCUACUUUUUCGUGGGGGACAACGUAGGGAAACUUACGCUAAUACCGCAUACGACCUACGGGUGAAAGCAGGGGAUCUUCGGACCUUGCGCGAUUGAAUGAGCCGAUGUCGGAUUAGUUAGUUGGCGGGGUAAAGGCCCACCAAGGCGACGAUCCGUAGCUGGUCUGAGAGGAUGAUCAGCCACACUGGAACGGAGACACGGUCCAGACUCCUACGGGAGGCAGCAGUGGGGAAUAUUGGACAAUGGGCGCAAGCCUGAUCCAGCCAUACCGCGUGGGUGAAGAAGGCCUUCGGGUUGUAAAGCCCUUUUGUUGGGAAAGAAAAGCAGCAGGUUAAUACCCCGCUGUUCUGACGGUACCCAAAGAAUAAGCACCGGCUAACUUCGUG
rnacentral:rRNA from 1 species